CCAGCUAUAAUCACUCACACACUACUAUUAUUUUUACAACUUUUAAAGGCACAUGGUGGUUUCUGGGGACUCCUCCUGUCACCCCAGCGCAGCAGCCCGAAGGGAGCUGGGGCCUCUCUUGGGCUCUUCCUCAAGGCUCUGCGCAGAAGGGCUGCCACCUCUCGCACAAGGCCUAGCGGAUGGGAAAGAAGCACUCACACAACCCCUGACAAUUGGCAAAGGUCUUUAUUGCCAGGUGUCUCCAGGCUAACGCCUGGAGUGGAGCCUGGGCGAUGCGGAAUAGGGAGCUUGCCGAGCCCUUCUGCACAGCUGCCGGUGUUCUUUGAGGACACUUUUCAGAGAGCUGCCGGGGGAGUCCCAUGUUUGUUGUGGCCGAGGUGGGUCCACUUCCAUCGGUUCCUCUUCGUCUCGUGCACCCACCUCCAUGGGCUCCGCAGGUUGGAGGACGAGCCAGUCCCUGGCAGGGACUGCCCACACAGGCUGCCUUCCACUGGGCAUAUUUUCUGGCCACGGUGCCGCACCAGGACGCCUCCCAGUUCCGGGCCUCGGGUCUGUUCCGUUCUCCGCUUGAUUUUCAUUCACGGAAUUCCUGAUGUCAUCUCUCCCUUGGCCACGGCUGGGUCCUGCAUCACAUUCCGUCCUCUGGGCACGGCUCCGCUUGCUGUGGCCCUCCAACCCAUGCUCUCUAUAUCUGCCGUCAUCGCUGGACCUCCGGCUAGGCCCAGGCCUGCUGCUGGUGUCCGUCCGAGGGGCCGGCCUGCUCCCUGCAUCACUUCGGCUCCAAUGAUAUUGAUCAUAACAGCCUCUGGGCCGGGCACCAGACACCUCCUGGGCACUGAUGGUUCUUGUGCUGGAGGUGCUGGCCCUCGACCCACGGCGCAUCCAUGCAGAGCCAGACAUCCUUCUCAGUGGUCCCAGGAACAAUUUCUUGUCCUCGCACUGAGAAGGGCUGCUGCUCGCCUCUCUCUCCCUUUGCUCGUAACUCUGGCCUUCCUUCAGCCACUGGCUUUCGGAAGACCAAAUCGCUGA
rnacentral:lncRNA from 1 species